CCAGACUCCUACGGGAGGCAGCAGUGGGGAAUAUUGGACAAUGGGCGCAAGCCUGAUCCAGCCAUACCGCGUGUGUGAAGAAGGCCUUCGGGUUGUAAAGCACUUUAAGCAGGGAGAAAAAGUUAUAAGUUAAUACCUUAUAACCGUGAUGUUACCUGCAGAAUAAGCACCGGCUAAUUCCGUGCCAGCAGCCGCGGUAAUACGGAAGGUGCAAGCGUUAAUCGGAAUUACUGGGCGUAAAGCGCGCGUAGGUGGUUUGUUAAGUUGGAUGUGAAAGCCCUGGGCUCAACCUAGGAACUGCAUCCAAAACUAACUCACUAGAGUACGAUAGAGGGAGGUAGAAUUCAUAGUGUAGCGGUGGAAUGCGUAGAUAUUAUGAAGAAUACCAGUGGCGAAGGCGGCCUCCUGGAUCUGUACUGACACUAAGGUGCGAAAGCGUGGGUAGCGAACAGGAUUAGAUACCCUGGUAGUCCACGCCGUAAACGAUGACAACUAGCUGUUGGGAGACAAUGUCUUUCAGUGGCGCAGCUAACGUUUUAAGUUGUCCGCCUGGGGAGUACGGCCGCAAGGCUAAAACUCAAAUGAAUUGACGGGGACCCGCACAAGCGGUGGAGCAUGUGGUUUAAUUCGAUGCAACGCGAAAAACCUUACCUACUCUUGACAUACUUGGAAGCUCUUGUAAUGAGAGUGUGCCUUUUGGAGCCAAGAUACAGGUGCUGCAUGGCUGUCGUCAGCUCGUGUCGUGAGAUGUUCCGUUAAGUCGGAUAACGAGCGCAACCCUUACCCUUAUUUGCCAGCGAUUCGGUCGGGAACUAUAAGGGGACUGCCGGUGAUAAACCGG
rnacentral:rRNA from 1 species